CAGGGGCCGCACCCCGCGCCGCGGCCAGCAGCGCUACUCCCGCCUGCCACCGGCUUUGGUGUCACAAUGGCAGGUCGAACCUAGCGAGACAGUCCUGGGUGACGCGACCCGAGAACGUAACUCAGGAAAUGGGAAGAUGCAUCUGCAUAGCACCUGCUUGAAAUCAGCUGUGCUGGGGCAGUCAGGAGCUGCUCAUCAGAGCCCAGGCCCGCGGCCCACACAGGAACCUUCCCCACCAGGGGCACACCGGGACGGGGAAGCCUACCCCAGCUGCUCUCACCGGGGGAGACCUGGACCCAGCGGGCAGCACUGAAACAGCGUCCCGCCUCCCACUGACCUCCAGAUAGUACAUGUCCAACGCCGUCAACUGCGACUCCAGAAAAAAUGCACCCAACAAAUGGAGCACAAGCAGGGCCGGCAGCUCAGCACGCAUCACCCCAGUCCCUGUAGUUCCUUUCUCAGCCCCGCACAGACUUGCACUUCCUUUGAAGAUGGCAGUUUUUUGAAAAGGAACUUGGGAAUCUCCUUAAUUUGUUUCAUUUCCUGCUUUUUCUUCCCAGCACCACAGUUAUGUCAGGUAGGAAAACGACAACAACAAACAAACAAAAUAAUAAUAAUAAAAAAAAGAAAGAACAAAACAAACAAACAAAAAAAAAAAACACAAAACACCAAUAUACCACCAUGCCAGCCCCCAAAUUCUCAAAAUACGAGGUGUUUCAGGCAGUUUUUCCACCACUGGGUGAUAAGCUUAAUUUGGAGUUACUCCCUUUGGGAGGCAACAUGCAAACAGUGCACCCUGUGGUGGACACCAGCCCUGCCUGUCCAGAGAAAUGCAUGGCAGAGCAAGCUGGCUGGUGUAAAACACCACCUUUGCAGAGCAAAAAAGAAAGUCAGGUGCUCCUGGGAGACUUUAUAUUUGUUUUAACACUUGCUAAUGUCACGCUUUGAGGUGCAUUUACAGAGG